rnacentral:rRNA from 1 species
UUCUGUGCCAAGACGUUGCUGCAUACAGCAGUUCUCGUGCGGUCACUGCGAAGUUGAGCAGCAUUUGGCGGAGUCAGUACAUGGAUGGGUGACCGUCUGGGAGAUCACGUAAAGCUGUCU